UUGGUCUCGGAUGUCUUUC
rnacentral:miRNA from 1 species